CUUUUUUUUUUUUUUUUUUGCCUAUUUUUGCAUUGCAGUUUUUGAUGAAUAUGCUUAAUUUGUAAAACAUGAUCAUUGGAGCCGCUCACAUGGAUGGAGGAACUCUGGUUGUUUUUAUUUCUUAAUAUCUAUACGGCAAUGCCUUAAAACAAUGGAAUUUUAACUUUAUGCUUGGCAAGUUUUUAUCAUUUUCAGCUGGCUAUUUAGCCUACUACCUCUUUAUCUGAGUUAAAGCAAUCACCAUCAAGGGAACCAUCGUGAGCAGCUGAGUUUUAAUUCCACAAGGGUUUAUUUGAAACACAAUUGCGGCGGGCCAAGAGUAGUGAUCUUGUGAUGUGUUUCCACGAGGAGAAGCGGAGAAGUUCUACAAGGUAUUAUAACUAUCUCGUGUUGGUGCUUGUGGAAGGCUCGAAACAAGUCGGUGUUCUCGGCGACUCAAGUCAAGGUGGAAGACAUCUUUAGCGAAGUUAGACCGGUGGGGUUAUUAUGGUUUAAGUAUAGAUCAAAGUUUAAUUCUAUUUCAUGGUCGAUUGGUGUAAAUUUGUAAUUAUGUAGUGUGUUUUGUUUGGGUGUUGGCCCGGCUCGGUUUUCGGGCUUGGGCGUCCUUUAAUGAAGUUUUCGUUUAAAAAGACA